UACGGCGAGUGAGCGGCAACAGCUCAAAUUUGAAAUCUGGCAGCCUCCGGGCGGUCCGAGUUGUAAUUUGAAGAGGAUGCUUUUGGCGAGGCGCCUUCCGAGUGCCCUGGAACGGGACGCCACAGAGGGUGAGAGCCCCGUAUGGUUGGACGCCGAGCCUCUGUAAAGCUCCUUCGACGAGUCGAGUAGUUUGGGAAUGCUGCUCAAAAUGGGAGGUAAACCCCUUCUAAAGCUAAAUACUGGCCAGAGACCGAUAGCGCACAAGUAGAGUGAUCGAAAGAUGAAAAGCACUUUGAAAAGAGAGUUAAAUAGCACGUGAAAUUGUUGAAAGGGAAGCGCUUGCGACCAGACUUGUGCCCGUCGAAUCAGCCGCCGCUCGUCGGCGGCGCACUUCGGCGGGCUCAGGCCAGCAUCAGUUCGCUGCAGGGGGAGAAAGGCGGUGGGAAUGUGGCUCUUCGGAGUGUUAUAGCCCGCCGCGCAAUACCCCUCGGCGGACUGAGGACCGCGCAUCUGCAAGGAUGCU
rnacentral:rRNA from 1 species